GUGUUCUUCGUUCAUCAAUCUCUUUCUCCCCUAAACCUCUCUCCCUCUCUCCGUGUUUUCCAUUGAAGCAAAGCUAUUGGUUAGGGAUGAUACUGCUACUGUAAAAUUUCUAAGAUCGUUAACCUUAUUUUAAUCUCUAUCUCACAGUUGUUUAAUUUAUAUUGAAUUUGGGUUUUUUUAUAAAUCGAAUGGAAACCCAAGUCGUUGAAUUUGGGUUUUUUUUAUAAAUUGAAUGGAAACCCAAGUCGUUGAAGAAACCCUGAUGAUUUCACGGAUUUUCCUUGAUUUUCCUUUUUGAGGUUAGUUUCAAAAAAAACCCUAAUUUAUUUUGUAGAAAUUUUAAUCCAUGAUUUCAUUGGUGAUAUAAGAUGUAACUCGUUUUGAUUAUUUGCAAUUCAGGUUGUAAAAUUCAAGCUUUAGACUCAAUUCCAACCAAAAUUUCAUGUCCUGCAGUGCUUUGUGUCUCAAAUUUGUAUUCGGUUUUUGAUUAUUUAUUUUCUAGGGUUUUGGCUGUAAAUUGAAUUUUAGGGGUUUUGAUUGAAAGAGUUUUAAUUCUAUGGUUCUGACUGUAAAUUGAAUUCAAUUUUCCCUUUCCCUGUUCUCUUUCGAUCUCAAUAGGUACACAAACGAGAACUCUUAACCAGGAUUUCUAUUGUUGUGUAGAGAGACAACGAGACAUAGUGAGAAAAAGCUGGCAUCUAUCUCAUCUCAGUUAAUUUCCCAUCGAAGAUGAAGUUGAUUAAAAGAGAGGGUUAUAGAAUGGUUGCUGAUACACUUAAGGAUGGAAAAGCAAAACAUAAUCAUCUUGGCUUAUCGACCCUGUUCUUAUUUAAGGUCGUAUCUGUUCAUAAAUUUGAUGCUUGGAUUAGCAAUUUGGAUGGUUUUGUUGGUUAUGUAAUUAGAAAUUCAUCUUAGUUUUGCAGCGUUCAAAAGUAUAGAAAACCUUUGAAACUGUGCGAGGGUCAGCAUUGGAGCUAUCAAAACUUUGGGGGUUAAAGUUCUGAUCUUCUUAGCCUCUAGCCUUCUCAAGAGAAAGGUCUGUCCUGCUCUAUUGAAGAUUUUUCUGCUCUUUUGUGAACGGGUUCACACUCUUAUGAUGGGUGCAAGAAUAUAGAAAACAUUUGAAGGUUUGCGAUUGUAUUAUCUACGAAGUGCUGCAACUUUGUGGAGAAUCCUAUUUAGUUGCGAAACAUGUCUAUCGGAGGUAAAUCCUAUUACUUUAUGCAAGGACCUAAAGUCUGUGGCUGCCAAACUGAAACUGACAGGCAUAUCAGCAAACUGUGGGUGUACAAGUUGCCAGCAAGCUUCCUCAGAAUGUAUAAAUUGCCAUAUGUUUUACUCCUCCGUGGACUGUUCCUCAUGCUAUUAAGCUGUUCUAUUGGGAGCAUUGAAUCUGUCACCAUGUACAUUGUGUAGGAUUGUGAUUGUAUUCUUUCAGUUAAGACUUAUAUUGAAUCUAUCCUGUGUCGUGUUAAGGGCUUCGAGGUAUUAAUGUUUUCUACGGAUUCUCAACAGGUAUACUAUAUUCCGUGGUAAUUAUCGCAUGUCUUUAUCAUCUCCACUCCUCAAUGUGAAGUUUGCUUGGAAUUUUUCUAUUUUUUUGUUGUUGCAGUAAGGGCUUAUAUCUGUUCUUCAUAGAGUUUGCAGAGAAGGUUUGUAUGCAGGGUAUGACCAACUAAAAUUAAGCAUUGCUCUCUUUUGUAGUCUGGGUCAUACUUAUCACGGAUUGGGUUGUCUAAUACUUUAUACCGUACCUAUUAUGUAUGUACUUUAUAUGCAAUACGCUUAUUGUUGAUGAAGCUAUUACCAACGGCGAAACAUGAAAGUCUGCUCCCAUGAAGCGGUUUGAUGCAAAUCUUUUCCCCUGCAUCAUGGAUGUUACCUGAACCUAUAAAAGAAGAGAUACUUUGGGAGGAUGCCAAAGCUAGAGAUAAAACAAGAAAGAGAAGGAGAGAAGAAAAAAGAAAAAGGAUGCAGAAGAUAAAGAUAGGAGAAUGGCGUAGUAGCCAUCAAUUUUAUUUUACUUAGGAUUUUAUUGGAUAGUUUUUACAGCUUCGGUUGAUAAUCUACUUUGCUUUCUUUUGUAAACAGUAUCAAAUUUUUUUCAAAAUGACUUGCAUUCCUGCACCAAUAUAACAACUGUAAUUAUGCA